UCAUUGUCAUUCCUAAUUGUAGAUACAACUCCAAAAAGCAAUAAAUACUUUUAUUUUUUUCAGUAUCGUGCUUUGUAUGAGUCAACAUAAUGGACCAUAUGACGAGGCAGUCCAUGACCAAUAAAGGAUGGGACCUUAUUACUGUGAUGGCUGCAGUUCUGACUCACAGCUACCAAUGUGACUUUGGUGUUCCAGCUCAUCAUCAUUUCCUGUUGUCCAAAAACAGUUGCUAGGAUAUAAGGUUCCAAACCAUUACAGGAAUGGACAUUUGCGAUUCAACAUCACCGCUGAGUAAGAACCAUUAAAGUAGGAUCUGUCACAUGAUUGGAUGGAUGAAAAUGGAGUAAAGAAUUUUCAACUUCAGCUGCAGU
rnacentral:lncRNA from 1 species